rnacentral:lncRNA from 1 species
GAGGAGAUCGAAAUCGGAGGGAAGAAGAGAAGGGUUAGGUCAAUCAGUUGACUUGCCUAGCUUCUAAAAGCUAAGGACUAUGCUUCUAAUCUACUAAUCGGUAAGCAUUCCUCUUGUUAUCUAUCUUUCUCGGGAUUUUUGGCCUACAUUACUUUUUCCUUCCUAGCCGCCCAUUUCAAUCGUGCAACUUGCAUGAAACCCGUCCGCUUUGUAUGGAGAAGCAAAACUUUAAUUUGAGCAACAUCAAUAAAUGCCCUUUCAGGGUCAGCUAGACUCGUGUACCACACAAAGAUGUAGGAGGUGCGGCAGCUCUGUUCCAGUCUAUGACAGCACUACAGCUAACACAACUACGAGCUAAGGCACAGAAAUAGUACCAGUAGGAGCGAAGGAAGCUUUUUCCUUUCAGUCGAGUGAGUAAACUAUCCCAGUAGUGCACCCGGCCUGCCGGCCCCCUACACACGUAAGGGGCUAGAAUUUCUAUAGUUCGCGGAGUAAACUUCCUUAUGAUAAAGGCUUCCAAAGGGAGCGGAACGCAUUCAAAGAAAAACUCUAAUUUGUUUGUAGAGCCACGCAAUUCCGUUUCGAUAAACUGCCUUGCUUAAAUAACAGCUAUCGCGCAUUAUUCACUCCACUUACUACUUAUAAUUCUCCUUGAUAUUGCCAUCAUCCUUAGGAAAAGAAAUUUUUAUGUGCACAGGGGUUCUGACUCGUAAGAUGAAGAGGAAAAGUAAAGAAGGAAGUCCCCUCGGAGAGGAGUGAGGGGUAUAACCCACAAAGAAAGUAUGAUCCUUAUGGGAAUCAUAGCUAUGCCCAGGUAGUUUUUCAUAUUUGCAAGGAAAUUGGUCUUCUAUUCUGUUGAAUGAAGAAACGCUAAACGAUAUUUUUUUUAUAUUUCUAGCUAUAUUGGUAAUAUAUUAAUAUAUAUAUAUAUAUAAUAUAUUGAAUAAACAGGAACUAGUUCAACUUGUAGGAAAGAAACAAGACUACCUUAGGAAAGAUGCCUUAGUACAAGCGCUAAGCGAGUGAGU